UACAGAGGUCUCAAGCGUUGUCCGGAUUUACUGGGCGUAAAGAGCGCGCAGGCGGUCGUUCAAGUCGAGUGUGAAAGCCCCCGGCUCAACUGGGGAGGGUCAUUCGAUACUGAUCGACUUGAAGGCAGGAGAGGGAAGUGGAAUUCCCGGUGUAGUGGUGAAAUGCGUAGAUAUCGGGAGGAACACCAGUGGCGAAGGCGAAUCUCUGGACAGUUACUGACACUGAGGCACGAAGGCCAGGGGAGCAAACGGG
rnacentral:rRNA from 1 species